GGGGGGCUGAGGCAGGAGAAUCGCCCCAACCCAGGAGGUGGAGGUUGCCGUGAGCCGAGAUCGCGCCACUGCACUCCAGCCUGGGUGACCGAGCGAGACUCUGUCUCCAAAAAAAAUAAAAAAAAGAUUUGUGUGUAUCUCUUCUAACUGCAACCUGUCACCAUUUUAGAUCCAAAUGCACCAAUCAGGAACCUAAGGAUGAAAGAAAAGGCUCAGCAGUUGAUCUGGGACCUGAACAGAAACGUGACCGACGUGGAGUGUAUCAAAGGCACCGACUAUUCUAUGCCGGCAAUGAACAACAGCUAUUGCCAGUUCGGAGCCAUUUCCUUAUGUGAAGUGACCAACUACACCGUCCGAGUGGCCAGUCCCCCGUUCUCCACGUGGAUCCUCUUCCCUGAGAACAGUGAGAAAAAUGUUCAUUGUGUGUCUGUUCUUUCCGUCUGUUCCCUCCCUCUCUCCCUCCCUGUGUCUGUCUUGU
rnacentral:lncRNA from 10 species